rnacentral:rRNA from 1 species
GACGAACGCUGGCGGCGUGCUUAACACAUGCAAGUCGAACGGAAAGGCCCUGCUUUUGUGGGGUGCUCGAGUGGCGAACGGGUGAGUAACACGUGAGUAACCUGCCCUUGACUUUGGGAUAACUUCAGGAAACUGGGGCUAAUACCGGAUAGGAGCUCCUGCUGCAUGGUGGGGGUUGGAAAGUUUCGGCGGUUGGGGAUGGACUCGCGGCUUAUCAGCUUGUUGGUGGGGUAGUGGCUUACCAAGGCUUUGACGGGUAGCCGGCCUGGGAGGGUGACCGGCCACAUGGGGCCUGGGGAGCGGCCCAGACCCCUAGGGGGGGCAGGGGGGGGGAAUUUUGCCCAAGGGGCGGAAGCCUGAGGCAGCAACGCCGGGUGCGGGAUGACGGCCUUCGGGUUGUAAACCGCUUUCGCCUGUGACGAAGCGUGAGUGGCGGUAAUGGGUAAAGAAGCACCGGCUAACUACGU